AUUGAACGCUGGCGGCAGGCCUAACACAUGCAAGUCGAACGGUAACAGGAAGAAGUUUGCUUCUUUGCUGAAGAGUGGCGGACGGGUGUGUAAUGUCUGGGACACUGCUAGAUGGCGGGGGAUAACUACUGGAAACGGUAGCUAAUACCGCAUAACGUCGCAACACCAAAGAGGGGGACCUUCGGGCCUCUUGCCAGUGGAUGAGACCAGGUGCCAGUAUGGAUUAGCUAGGGGGUCGGGUAACGGCUUACCAAGGCAACGAUCCCUAGCCGAGCUGAGAGGAUGACCAGCCACACUGGAACUGAGACACGGUCCAGACUCCUACGGGAGGCAGCAGUGGGGAAUAUUGCACAAUGGGCGCAAGCCUGAUGCAGCCAUGCCGCGUGUAUGAUGAAGGCCUUCGGGUUGUAAAGCUCUGUUAUUGGGGAAGAAGGGAGUAAUGUUAAUCCCUGCGCACAUUGACGUUACCCACAGAGAAAGCACCGGCUAACUCCGUG
rnacentral:rRNA from 1 species